UGCAGAUGAUUUUAUUACGUCUUUGGUGGAUGUAAUAAAGAGAUGGUUAUGACUGCUAUAUUCCAUUUCUGCUAAAAAAAACAAAACAAAAAAAACAUUCUGGUUUUAAUAUUAGUUUUAUUAUAGAUAGAUUAAUUCUGAAUAAAUAAGUCAUUUACAUAUAUUAAAAUAUAGUGUUGUCACUUCAGAAAUAUGAACUAUUGCAAGAAAAAUAGAACACAUGAUUUAAGAAUAAACAG